rnacentral:rRNA from 1 species
CGUGAGGAACCUGCCUCAAAGAGGGGGACAACAGUUGGAAACGACUGCUAAUACCGCAUAAGCCCACGGCUCGGCAUCGAGCAGAGGGAAAAGGAGUGAUCCGCUUUGAGAUGGCCUCGCGUCCGAUUAGCUGGUUGGUGAGGUAAUGGCCCACCAAGGCGACGAUCGGUAGCCGGACUGAGAGGUUGAACGGCCACAUUGGGACUGAGACACGGCCCAGACUCCUACGGGAGGCAGCAGUGGGGAAUAUUGCACAAUGGGGGAAACCCUGAUGCAGCGACGCCGCGUGGAGGAAGAAGGUCUUCGGAUUGUAAACUCCUGUUGUUGAGGAAGAUAAUGACGGUACUCAACAAGGAAGUGACGGCUAACUACGUGCCAGCAGCCGCGGUAAAACGUAGGUCACAAGCGUUGUCCGGAAUUACUGGGUGUAAAGGGAGCGCAGGCGGGAGGACAAGUUGGAAGUGAAAUCCAUGGGCUCAACCCAUGAACUGCUUUCAAAACUGUUUUUCUUGAGUAGUGCAGAGGUAGGCGGAAUUCCCGGUGUAGCGGUGGAAUGCGUAGAUAUCGGGAGGAACACCAGUGGCGAAGGCGGCCUACUGGGCACCAACUGACGCUGAGGCUCGAAAGUGUGGGUAGCA